AUUUGGAUAUGCCACAGAGAAGCCACAAAGUGCUUCCUUUAAAUGAGAAGGUGAAUUGCUCUCGACUCAAGAAGAAAAGAAAAAGAAUCAUAUGCUGAGGUUGCUAAUAUCUAUGAAAAUCUGGAAGGCUAUACUCCAAAGUGUUAGCACUGAUGAAAUACUCAGGGCCACGAAAGUGCAGUGGCCCAGCUUGUGAAAGACACAAGGACAUCGCUUGGGAGAACAAGCAGUGGCUGACAUCUUGCCCAGGACUGAGCCUCCAGGGAAGGCCCAUCCUUUCCUGGCUCCAUAUAGACUGGCAUCAGCCCCAGAGGUGAUGGAGGCCCGGUGCAUGAAAUUCGACCCAGCCUGCACCCUCUUCAAUCCGGGACCCCUCGGGGGAUA